rnacentral:rRNA from 1 species
AUCUUGCGCAAUGGCCGAAAGGCUGACGCAGCGACGCCGCGUGCGGGAGGACGCUUUUCGGAGUGUAAACCGCUGUCAGGAGGGAAGAAGGUCCUGGGGAGGAAAUGCCUCAGGGAUGACGGUACCUCCAGAGGAAGCACCGGCUAACUCCGUGCCAGCAGCCGCGGUAAUACGGAGGGUGCGAGCGUUGUUCGGAAUUAUUGGGCGUAAAGCGCACGUAGGCGGCUCUGUAAGUCUCGCUGUGAAAGCCCGGGGCUCAACCCCGGGAGGCCAGGGGAUACUGCGGAGCUGGAGACAGGCAGAGGCUGGUGGAAUUCCGGGUGUAGCGGUGGAAUGCGUAGAGAUCCGGAGGAACAUCUGAGGCGAAGGCGGCCAGCUGGGCCUGAUCUGACGCUGAGGUGCGAAAGCGUGGGGAGCGAACAGG